UUUUAUGGAGAGUUUGAUCCUGGCUCAGGACGAACGCUGGCGGCGUGCCUAAUACAUGCAAGUCGAGCGGACUGAUGGGAGCUUGCUCCCUGAUGUUAGCGGCGGACGGGUGAGUAACACGUGGGCAACCUGCCUGUAAGACUGGGAUAACUCCGGGAAACCGGGGCUAAUACCGGAUAACCCGUU
rnacentral:rRNA from 1 species